UACGGAGGGAGCUAGCGUUGUUCGGAAUUACUGGGCGUAAAGCGUGCGUAGGCGGUUCGUUAAGUCUGUCGUGAAAGCCCUGGGCUCAACCUGGGAAUUGCGAUGGAUACUGGCGAGCUAGAGUACGGUAGAGGAUGGUGGAAUUCCCGGUGUAGCAGUGAAAUGCGUAGAGAUCGGGAGGAGCAUCUGUGGCGAAGGCGACUGCCUGGACCAGCACUGACACUGAGGCACGAAAGCGUGGGGAGCAAACAGG
rnacentral:rRNA from 1 species